AAUAACGUUAAAUUCUUAUCAGAAACUGUCAACAGGAAGCUAUGAAAUAAUUGUCAUAUCAGUAUACUAUCUACUAGUUUUUAAAUUGAUUCGAAUAUUUUACAGAUAGAAAAAUGCUUGCAAAUUGAAAAACACAAAGUUCAAGCUAAUAUACGUGUUACAGGAAGCUUGACUGUAUUACACUCUCAUAUAUUUCAAACUGUUUUGUAAUAGAAUAAAGAAAAUAAAUAAAAUACAAUUAAAUUGUCAUUAAGAGCUGACUGUUGAUCGCCGGUUCCCGCGAGUCUGGAGCGCUGAUUAGCAGGGCAAUGAGCACCCGUUUCUAGAUCGUGGGUAUUUAGGAGGAGGAGGACGAGGAGGAGGCCUGACUUUGGAUAUUCAAUAUGUUAAUUAAAUGCGUUGAAAUCGAUUUGUUUCACAAUACGAGAAAUGAAAUGCUAUAAAUAAAAAUUUACAUAGCUGUUUCUUGAUAAGCUUCAAUAUCGACUAAAACAACGAACUGCACAUGAAUUGAUAAGAUUAAAAUGUACGACAAUAAAUAUCACACAAUUACCACGAAAUUCGAGGCAAAUACUUAGUUCCUCAAGGCCCGAACUGAAUUCGACCACAGUAAAAAUAUUGACAACUGGUCAUCGUGUCCAGCUUACAUUCGCUGCGAUGUCGUCCAAAACCAAAGUCCAAAUGCUUGCGGCAUCUUUUGAUUCCAGUCGAACCCGAAGUCAAAGUCAACGUCGACCUCGCCGUCGUCAUCAGCCUCAGUUGUGGGUGUUCUACUAAGGCGAUAUGCUAUAUGGUAUAUAUGUACAAAUAAUAUGACAUUGUUUUCCUGUUUGUUUAUAA